UAAACGAUGAGUGCUAAAGUGUUAGGGGGGUUUCCGCCCCUUAGUGCUGCACCCUACCCGCCCCUAAGCACUCCGCCUGGGGAGUACGGUCGCAAGACUGAAACUCAAAGGAAUUGACGGGGGCCCGCACAAGCGGUGGAGCAUGUGGUUUAAUUCGAAGCAACGCGAAGAACCUUACCAGGUCUUGACAUCCCGUUGACCACUGUAGAGAUAUAGUUUCCCCUUCGGGGGCAACGGUGACAGGUGGUGCAUGGUUGUCGUCAGCUCGUGUCGUGAGAUGUUGGGUUAAGUCCCGCAACGAGCGCAACCCUUGAUCUUAGUUGCCAUCAUUUAGUUGGGCACUCUAAGGUGACUGCCGGUGACAAACCGGAGGAAGGUGGGGAUGACGUCAAAUCAUCAUGCCCCUUAUGACCUGGGCUACACACGUGCUACAAUGGACGAUACAAACGGUUGCCAACUCGCGAGAGGGAGCUAAUCCGAUAAAGUCGUUCUCAGUUCGGAUUGUAGGCUGCAACUCGCCUCACAUGAAGCCGGAAUCGCUAGUAAUCGCGGAUCAGCUGCCGCGAAUGGCC
rnacentral:rRNA from 1 species